rnacentral:rRNA from 1 species
CCUACGGGAGGCUGCAGUGAGGAAUCUUGGUCAAUGGGCGCGAGCCUGAACCAGCCAAGUCGCGUGAAGGAUGACUGCCCUACGGGUUGUAAACUUCUUUUAUAAAGGAAUAAAGUGCGGCACGUGUGCCCUUUUGUAUGUACUUUAUGAAUAAGGAUCGGCUAACUCCGUGCCAGCAGCCGCGGUAAUACGGAGGAUCCGAGCGUUAUCCGGAUUUAUUGGGUUUAAAGGGAGCGUAGAUGGGUUGUUAAGUCAGUUGUGAAAGUUUGCGGCUCAACCGUAAAAUUGCAAUUGAUACUGGCAGGCUGGAGUACAGUUGAGGUAGGCGGAAUUCGUGGUGUAGCGGUGAAAUGCUUAGAUAUCACGAAGAACACCGAUUGCGAAGGCAGCUUACUAAACUGCAACUGACAUUGAUGCUCGAAAGUGUGGGUAUCAAACAGGAUUAGAUACCCUUGUAGUC